CAAUCAAACCGGGAGAUAGCUGGUUCUCCCCGAAAGCUAUUUAGGUAGCGCCUCGUGAAUUCAUCUCCGGGGGUAGAGCACUGUUUCGGCAAGGGGGUCAUCCCGACUUACCAACCCGAUGCAAACUGCGAAUACCGGAGAAUGUUAUCACGGGAGACACACGGCGGGUGCUAACGUCCGUCGUGAAGAGGGAAACAACCCAGACCGCCAGCUAAGGUCCCAAAGUCAUGGUUAAGUGGGAAACGAUGUGGGAAGGCCCAGACAGCCAGGAUGUUGGCUUAGAAGCAGCCAUCAUUUAAAGAAAGCGUAAUAGCUCACUGGUCGAGUCGGCCUGCGCGGAAGAUGUAACGGGGCUAAACCAUGCACCGAAGCUGCGGCAGCGACACUGUGUGUUGUUGGGUAGGGGAGCGUUCUGUAAGCCUGUGAAGGUGUGCUGUGAGGCAUGCUGGAGGUAUCAGAAGUGCGAAUGCUGACAUAAGUAACGAUAAAGCGGGUGAAAAGCCCGCUCGCCGGAAGACCAAGGGUUCCUGUCCAACGUUAAUCGGGGCAGGGUGAGUCGACCCCUAAGGCGAGGCCGAAAGGCGUAGUCGAUGGGAAACAGGUUAAUAUUCCUGUACUUGGUGUUACUGCGAAGGGGGGACGGAGAAGGCUAUGUUGGCCGGGCGACGGUUGUCCCGGUUUAAGCGUGUAGGCUGGUUUUCCAGGCAAAUCCGGAGAAUCAAGGCUGAGGCGUGAUGACGAGGCACUACGGUGCUGAAGCAACAAAUGCCCUGCUUCCAGGAAAAGCCUCUAAGCAUCAGGUAACAUCAAAUCGUACCCCAAACCGACACAGGUGGUCAGGUAGAGAAUACCAAGGCGCUUGAGAGAACUCGGGUGAAGGAACUAGGCAAAAUGGUGCCGUAACUUCGGGAGAAGGCACGCUGAUAUGUAGGUGAAGCGACUUGCUCGUGGAGCUGAAAUCAGUCGAAGAUACCAGCUGGCUGCAACUGUUUAUUAAAAACACAGCACUGUGCAAACACGAAAGUGGACGUAUACGGUGUGACGCCUGCCCGGUGCCGGAAGGUUAAUUGAUGGGGUCAGCGCAAGCGAAGCUCUUGAUCGAAGCCCCGGUAAACGGCGGCCGUAACUAUAACGGUCCUAAGGUAGCGAAAUUCCUUGUCGGGUAAGUUCCGACCUGCACGAAUGGCGUAAUGAUGGCCAGGCUGUCUCCACCCGAGACUCAGUGAAAUUGAACUCGCUGUGAAGAUGCAGUGUACCCGCGGCAAGACGGAAAGACCCCGUGAACCUUUACUAUAGCUUGACACUGAACACUGGUCCUUGAUGUGUAGGAUAGGUGGGAGGCUUUGAAGUGUGGACGCCAGUCUGCAUGGAGCCGUCCUUGAAAUACCACCCUUUAAUGGCUGGUGUUCUAACGUUGGCCCCUUACCGGGGUUGCGGACAGUGUCUGGUGGGUAGUUUGACUGGGGCGGUCUCCUCCUAAAGAGUAACGGAGGAGCACGAAGGUUGGCUAAUCCUGGUCGGACAUCAGGAGGUUAGUGCAAUGGCAUAAGCCAGCUUGACUGCGAGCGUGACGGCGCGAGCAGGUGCGAAAGCAGGUCAUAGUGAUCCGGUGGUUCUGAAUGGAAGGGCCAUCGCUCAACGGAUAAAAGGUACUCCGGGGAUAACAGGCUGAUACCGCCCAAGAGUUCAUAUCGACGGCGGUGUUUGGCACCUCGAUGUCGGCUCAUCACAUCCUGGGGCUGAAGUAGGUCCCAAGGGUAUGGCUGUUCGCCAUUUAAAGUGGUACGCGAGCUGGGUUUAGAACGUCGUGAGACAGUUCGGUCCCUAUCUGCCGUGGGCGCUGGAGAACUGAGGGGGGCUGCUCCUAGUACGAGAGGACCGGAGUGGACGCAUCACUGGUGUUCGGGUUGUCAUGCCAAUGGCACUGCCCGGUAGCUAAAUGCGGAAGAGAUAAGUGCUGAAAGCAUCUAAGCACGAAACUUGCCCCGAGAUGAGUUCUCCCUGAGACUUAGAGUCUCCUGAAGGAACGUUGAAGACGACGACGUUGAUAGGCCGGGUGUGUAAGCGCAGCGAUGCGUUGAGCUAACCGGUACUAAUGAACCGUGAGGCUUAACCUUACAACGCCGAAG
rnacentral:rRNA from 1 species